GACGAACGCUGGCGGCGUGCUUAACACAUGCAAGUCGAACGGAAAGGCCCUGCUUUUGUGGGGUGCUCGAGUGGCGAACGGGUGAGUAACACGUGAGUAACCUGCCCUUGACUUUGGGAUAACUUCAGGAAACUGGGGCUAAUACCGGAUAGGAGCUCCUGCUGCAUGGUGGGGGUUGGAAAGUUUCGGCUGUUGGGGAUGGACUCGCGGGUUAUCCGCUUGUUGGUGGGGUAGUGGCUUACCAAGGCUUUGACGGGUAGCCCGCCUGAGAGGGGGACCGGCCACAUGGGGACUGAGAUACGGACCAGACUCCUACGGGAGGCAGCAGUGGGGAAUAUUGCACAAUGGGCGGAAGCGUGAUGCAGCAGCGCCGCGUGCGGGAUGACGGCCUUCGGGUUGUAAACCGCUUUCGCCUGUGACGAAGCGUGAGUGACGGUAAUGGGUAAAGAAGCACCGGCUAACUACGUG
rnacentral:rRNA from 1 species